GCCGAAGUGGUGAAACUGGUAGACGCAGCGGACUCAAAAUCCGCCGGGGGCAACUCCAUGAGGGUUCAAGUCCCUCCUUCGGCA
rnacentral:tRNA from 1 species